UGAUGGUAGCGAAAGAGGAAGGGACGGCUAACUCUGUGCCAGCAGCCGCGGUAAUACAGAGGUCCCGAGCGUUGUUCGGAUUCACUGGGCGUAAAGGGUGCGUAGGUGGCGAGGUAAGUCGGAUGUGAAAUCUCGGAGCUCAACUCCGAAACGGCAUUGGAAACUACCUUGCUCGAGGGUUGGAGGGGGGACUGGAAUACUUGGUGUAGCAGUGAAAUGCGUAGAUAUCAAGUAGAACACCAGUGGCGAAGGCGAGUCCCUGGACAACUCCUGACACUGAGGCACGAAAGCUAGGGGAGCAAACAGGAUUAGAUACCCUGGUAGUCCUAGCCGUAAACGGUGCACGUUUGCUGUAAAAGGAAUCGACCCCUUUUGUGGCGCAGCCGACGCGUUAAACGUGCCGCCUGGGAAGUACUGUCGCAAGAUUAAAACUCAGAGAAAUUGACGGGGGCCUGCACAAGCAGUGGAGUAUGUGGCUCAAUUCGAUGCAACGCGGAGAAGCUUACUUGGCCUUGACAUGUAC
rnacentral:rRNA from 1 species